GGUUUCGUGGUGUAGUUGGUAUCACACCAGUCUAACACACUGGUGGUCUCCUGUUCGAACCCGGGCGAAAUCA
rnacentral:tRNA from 2 species